GCCCGGCCCGAGAAGCACGAAGAGGAGUCACAUCCAACCUCCCAGCUCCCCCCUUCAUAGGAGCAAUCAGUCGACAGUGAUGCAUGAUGGGAGGGGAAGCAGGGCUCGGAAAAAGUGCGCCCGAAGACGCUCGGGGCAAUGAGUGUGUGUGUGUGUAAGAAUCAAAAAGAAUAAAAAGGUGACACACACACACACUUUAUUUAUUAUUUAAUGCGGGGAUGCUGACACAUUAACUAAUGUACACACGCCAUUUGAAAGUAUAAAAGCAGGCCUUCUAUAAGCUGCGUGUGUGUGUGUGUGAGCGUGUGUGUGUGUGUGUGUGAGCGUGUGUGAGCGUGUGUGUGUGUGUGUGUGAGCGUGUGUCUCCUCUUCCCCAUCGGAGGCGGAGAGCGACCCGACGGGAAAAGAAUGGACGCUCAAAAAGCUGAUUCGACGUUUCCCAUUGGACGACGGGGAGGAGCUGCAGGAGGAACCCGUCUGUGAGGAGUCGCUGCAGGCUGGGAGCAUCAUGGGGGGGGGGGGGUCCAGGUGUACGGUGUCACUGUGGAGCGUUCUCCUCCUCAGAAUCCUCCUGUUGCCGUUUCUUCUGUUCGGAGAGGAGACAGAGAUCAGACUCAAACGAAUCGAGUCGAUUCUAGAAAAAAAAAAUCAUGAAUGAGAUUGCAUCUACAUUUUUAUUAUAAAUAAUAUGGUAUUUUAUUUGUUACCUUGUAUUAAUACUCUAAUGUGCACCCGCUGCUGUGAUCCUGCAAUUUCCCCGCUGUGGGACUAAUAAAGGAAAAUCUAAUCUGA